rnacentral:rRNA from 1 species
CACGUAGGCGGCGAUUUAAGUCAGAGGCGAAAGCCCGGGGCUCAACCCCGGAACUGCCUUUGAGACUGGAUUGCUUGAAUCCUGGAGAGGUGAGUGGAAUUCCGAGUGUAGAGGUGAAAUUCGUAGAUAUUCGGAAGAACACCAGUGGCGAAGGCGGCUCACUGGACAGGUAUUGACGCUGAGGUGCGAAAGCGUGGGGAGCAAACA